rnacentral:rRNA from 1 species
GGAUAACCUACCCUUAGGACCGGGAUAACCUUGGGAAACUGAGGAUAAUACUGGAUAGGCAAUUUUUCCUGUAAUGGUUUUUUGUUUAAAUGUUUUUUCGCCUAAGGAUGGGUCUGCGGCCGAUUAGGUAGUUGGUUAGGUAACGGCUUACCAAGCCGUUGAUCGGUACGGGUUGUGAGAGCAAGAGCCCGGAGAUGGAACCUGAGACAAGGUUCCAGGCCCUACGGGGUGCAGCAGGCGCGAAACCUCCGCAAUGUGAGAAAUCGCGACGGGGGGAUCCCAAGUGCCAUUCUUAACGGGAUGGCUUUUAAUUAGUGUAAAAAGCUUUUGGAAUAAGAGCUGGGCAAGACCGGUGCCAGCCGCCGCGGUAACACCGGCAGCUCUA